rnacentral:misc_RNA from 1 species
GGCGAAGCUGCUACAGUGCUAGGUAAGAUUCAUUGUAUAUAUGUACAUGUGGAUUGAUGACAACUUUUCUGUUAAAAUAUCUGUUGUUAUUUGGUGGAAAAUAUUCUUUACAAAAGAAUGCCAUUUUUUAAAACCAUCAUGUUGACUCUGCUUUGUUUCUCAUGCUUAAUCCUUUUCAAAAUUUUGAGUUAGCCAAAAUGCAUAAUUCCAGCAACACUUAGAGAGUGACUGAGUACUGAAUAUAAAUACAACAGAGAUUUGAUCAAAGAUUUUGAAAAUUUUUGAAGCAUUUGUUUUAAAAUAGAUGUAGUUUUUACUCUGUUUAUCCAUGUAAACCUUGUCCUAAAUUCAGAUACUGCUUAAGCCUUUCAGAUAUGCAUACAAUUAGUAUAGUUAAAACUUCAUUUUUUUUAUUUGUUUCAAUUAAUUCAUCCAUUUCCUUUUUCACAAUAAUAAAUUCCAAAUGAGUUAUAUAUGACAAAUGAAUUGAUACUCUUGCUUGAAUCUUGUAGUUGGAGUUAAAAACUUGCUGUGAAUACUUAUCUUGUAAGCUUGUACUAAUCUGCGGGCAUCUUGGUUAGAUGUAUUCUGAUCUGUAAUGAUUGGCUGGCUUGCAAUUCUCUCUCUGUCUCUCUCUGCAAUGUCUAUUUGCAUGUCGUAUACCGCAGGCUCGAGUUUGUCUAAUUCUUUUUGGGCUACUCUAUAUGUAAUGUUCUUAUUUUGGAUUGAGAAAGUUGCACUGUUUUGUCUUUUUAUUAGACAUUUUGCUAUUUUAUCUACUAGUUGUGUAGAUACGGCAAUGCUCUGUGUAUGCAUAUUACUAAAUUUUAUUGUGGAAAGACGGGUGUCUUGGGGAUGUAUAAAAUAAAUGGUGCAAAAAAUCACAUUUUUAGAGAUUGAUGUCUAGCAAAACUGCAAAGACUGGACUAGCCUAAUGGUUAGGAUGUUAGCUUUGCUUACGGAUUAUUGUCAUAGUUUCAGAUAAAAAUAAUUCUUACUUAACAUAAUAAUACGUGGGAGAAUUUUAGUGAAGUCUUGGCAACCAAUUGAAGCAGAAGAAUUUGACCUCCCCAUCAUCUUUACUGUCCUGUUAUUUAGAACAUUCUUUUAAUUCUUCCUGGAAAUCAACUUUUUGUUGUUCCAGUUAGUAGGGGUCAUUGUUGCCAGCACGGAAUAAAGAGGUUUAAGUUGAUUAUUAUCUUCUUCAAGUUUAAAGCAAAAUGCGAAAAGGUAUAUUUGCACUUCUGAAUAAAAUUGCACUUGGCUGUUACAUUCUCCUUUGAAACUACAAUUUGGGUACCCUGAGUUUAUUAUUAGCCAUACGUUGUAUGUAUUUUGAAGUUUUAAAUGCUUGGCAUAGGUAUGCUCUAAUGAUUAACAACUCCUUUUGUUCUUUUUUCCAGGUGCAAGUACUGUUUCAGGUUUCUUUGCUUCAGCCUGCAGUCUU